rnacentral:rRNA from 1 species
UCACCAAGGCAGGAUCAGUAGCUGGUCUGAGAGGACGAUAGCACACUGGGACUGAGACACGGCCAGACUCCUAGGGAGGCGAGUGGGGAAUUUCCGCAAUGGGCGAAAGCCUGACGGAGCAAGACCGCGUGAGGGAGGAAGGCUCUUGGGUUGUAAACCUCUUUUCUCAGGGAAGAAGCUCUGACGGUACCUGAGGAAUCAGCCUCGGCUAACUCCGUGCCAGCAGCCGCGGUAAUACGCGAGGAGCGCAAGCCGUUAUCCGCGAAUUAUUGGGCCGUAAAGCCGUCCCGCCAGGUGGCGAAUUCAAGGUCUUGCUGUCAAAAGCCACGUGGGCUUUAACUCGCGGCUUAAGGGCAGUGGAAACUGAAUAGCUAGAGUGCCGUAGGGGUAGAGGGAAUUCCCCGGUGUAGCGGUGAAAUGCGUAGAGAUCGGGAAGAACAUCGGUGGCGAAAGCGCUUUUACUGGACGGCAACUGACACUUCAGGGACGAAAGCUUAGGGGAGCGAAUGGGAUUAGAUACCCCAGUAGUCCUAGCUGUAAACGAUGGAUACUAGGUGUAGCUUGUAUCGACCCGAGCUGUGCCGAAGCUAACGCGUUAAGUAUCCCGCCUGGGGAGUACGCACGCAAGUGUGAAACUCAAAGGAAUUGACGGGGGCCCGCACAAGCGGUGGAGUAUGUGGUUUAAUUCGAUGCAACGCGAAGAACCUUACCAGGGCUUGACAUGUCCGGAAUCCCGGUGAAAGCUGGGAGUGCCUUCGGGAGCCGGAACACAGGUGGUGCAUGGCUGUCGUCAGCUCGUGUCGUGAGAUGUUGGGUUAAGUCCCGCAACGAGCGCAACCCUCGUCUUUAGUUGCCAGCAUUAAGUUGGGCACUCUAGAGAGACUGCCGGUGACAAACCGGAGGAAGGUGGGGAUGACGUCAAGUCAGCAUGCCCCUUACGCUCUGGGCGACACACGUACUACAAUGGUCGGGACAGAGGGCAGCGAACCUGCGAAGGCAAGCUAAUCCCAGCAAACUCGGCCUCAGUUCAGAUCGCAGGCUGCAACUCGCCUGCGUGAAGGGGGAAUCGCUAGUUAUCUCCACUCACAAUACGGCGCUGAUCCGUUCCCGGGCCUUGUACACACCGCCCGUCACACCAUGGAAGCUGGCCACGCCCGAAGUCGUUACCC